rnacentral:lncRNA from 1 species
AUGUUAAACAGGAGACCUAAGAACAUGAUUAACGCAAUAGCUUAGUGGGAGUGCUUAAUGAUUUUCGGAUUUAAAAAAAGAAAAGAAAAUAAUGUAUUAAGAGAAGCGACGGUGCUUAAUUAAGCCGCACAAGAAACAUAUCUAAUGAGACAUGUGUCAUUAGACACAUCUUUCUCUCCCUCGACGAGUCGACUUCUCUCUUUUUCUCCCUCGACGACUCCGCUUCUUUCCUUCUUUCCCUCGGCGACUCCGUGUUUCUCGAUUGAAACCUCGACGACUCCGC